rnacentral:rRNA from 1 species
GUCCACGCCCUAAACGAUGUCAACUGGUUGUCGGGGAAGCAAUUCCUUGGUAACGAAGCUAACGCGUGAAGUUGACCGCCUGGGGAGUACGGCCGCAAGGUUAAAACUCAAAGGAAUUGACGGGGACCCGCACAAGCGGUGGAUUAUGUGGAUUAAUUCGAUGCAACGCGAAAACCUUACCUACCCUUGACUUGUACGGAACCUCGCAGAAAUGCGGGGGUGCCCGAAAGGGAACCGUAACACAGGUGCUGCAUGGCUGUCGU